rnacentral:rRNA from 1 species
GAGUUUGAUCGUGGCUCAGAUUGAACGCUGGCGGCAUGCCUUACACAUGCAAGUCGAACGGCAGCACGGGAGCUUGCUCCUGGUGGCGAGUGGCGAACGGGUGAGUAAUGCAUCGGAACGUAUCCUGGAGUGGGGGAUAACGUAGCGAAAGUUACGCUAAUACCGCAUAUUCUGUGAGCAGGAAAGCGGGGGACCUUCGGGCCUCGCGCUCUUGGAGCGGCCGAUGUCGGAUUAGCUAGUUGGUGAGGUAAAGGCUCACCAAGGCGACGAUCCGUAGCAGGUCUGAGAGGAUGAUCUGCCACACUGGAACUGAGACACGGUCCAGACUCCUACGGGAGGCAGCAGUGGGGAAUUUUGGACAAUGGGGGCAACCCUGAUCUAGCCAUGCCGCGUGAGUGAAGAAGGCCUCGGUUGUAAGAC